GCCUCCAUAGUAUAGUGGAUAGCACGCGGGCUUGCGGAGCCUGAAACCUGGGUUCGACUCCCAGUGGAGGCA
rnacentral:tRNA from 2 species